CCUACGGGAGGCAGCAGUGGGGAAUUUUCCGCAAUGGGCGAAAGCCUGACGGAGCAACGCCGCGUGAGGGAGGAAGGCUUUUGGGUUGUAAACCUCUUUUGUCAGGGAAGAAGUUCUGACGGUACCUGACGAAUCAGCAUCGGCUAACUCCGUGCCAGCAGCCGCGGUAAUACGGAGGAUGCAAGCGUUAUCCGGAUUUAUUGGGCGUAAAGCGUCCGCAGGUGGUUGAGUAAGUCUGUUGUUAAAGCGUGGGGCUUAACUCCAUAAGGGCGAUGGAAAC
rnacentral:rRNA from 1 species